rnacentral:rRNA from 1 species
UACGAACCGUCCAAACGUUAUUCGGAAUCACUGGGCUUAAAGGGUUUGUAGGCGGCCUUGUAAGUGGGGUGUGAAAUCCCUCGGCUCAACCGAGGAAUAGCGCUCCAAACUGCAAGGCUUGAGGGAGACAGGGGUAAGCGGAACUGAUGGUGGAGCGGUGAAAUGCGUUGAUAUCAUCAGGAACACCGGUGGCGAAAGCGGCUUACUGGGUCUCUUCUGACGCUGAGAAACGAAAGCUAGGGUAGCGAACGGG